GAUAGCCCUGUGUGUGGAGCGGAUUUGAUGUCAUUAGUCAUCCAGAGCUAGCUGCUCAGUUCAGUGAUAGUUUUACAUAUAUUAAUGAUAUAUUUCAAGCUGUAUUUGUUUUUUGUAUACAUAUCAAGGUGUUCGGAGACUGUAUUUUUUUUAAACACAUGUACAUGUACAUAGCCGUUGGGUUUUUUUUUUAUUGUUUACAAUGUACUUAAAUCACCAGUGUUUGUCCAAAACAUUCCUGAAUGCAUAUAUAUGUACUUUAAUAGUAUUAAUUUCCAUGAUGCGAUCCAAUUAUCAGCAUUCAUUUUUGUUCUGGUCCAAGACCAGUCACUUGUAUACAAUCAUAUAUUUUCUCGAUGAAGUAAUAUUUACAUAACAGCCAACAUGUAUUAAAAAUUUGACUGAC
rnacentral:misc_RNA from 1 species